rnacentral:rRNA from 1 species
GACGAACGCUGGCGGCGUGCUUAACACAUGCAAGUCGAACGGGCCUUGUCCCCUUUUUUUUUGGGGGUGGGGUUAGUGGCGAACGGGUGAGUAACACGUGAGUAACCUGCCCCUCACUUCUGGAUAACCGCUUGAAAGGGUGGCUAAUACGGGGUGUUCUGGCCUGCUCGCAUGGGUGGGUUUGGAAAGAUUCGACCGGUUUGGUUGUUUUGGUGGGGGAUGGGCUCGCGGCCUAUCAGCUUGUUGGUGGGGUGAUGGCCUGCCAAGGCUUUGACGGGUAGCCGGCCUGAGAGGGUGGGCGGCCACGCUGGGACUGAGACACGGCCCAGACUCCUACGGGAGGCAGCAGUGGGGAAUAGUGCACAAUGGGCGCAAGCCUGAUGCAGCGACGCCGCGUGAGGGAUGGAGGCCUUCGGGUUGUGAACCUCUUUCGCCAGUGAAGAAGGUCCUGCUCUUUGUGGUGGGGUUGACGGUAGCUGGGUUAAUGAAGCGCCGGCUAACUACGUG